rnacentral:tRNA from 1 species
GCGCCGUUCGGGACCCAUGAGCACGACAUUGGCGGAGCUCUUAAUCCGCGGGUUCGGGGUUCGAGUCCCUGGCGGCGCACCA